GACCUUCAGACACAAAAGAGAAGAAGAGGACUGAUGUGUGUAAGGGGCAGCAGCUUUCCUGCUGUCCUUUCUGUCAGGACGUCCUGAAGGAUCCAGUCUGGUGGAGCUGUGGACACCGGGUCUGCAGACAGUGCAGCAGCUCACACAGGGACCAGAAUUGUUCAUCAGGAGCCUCCUGCUGUCCUCAGUGUGCAGAAAGAUCCAGAAGCACCACUGCACUAAGUGUGGGUCUGCAGCAGCUUCUAGAAGAACACAAGGAGAGUGUGAGGAGG